AUAAAUUAUAUAUACAAAGAAGCCCAUCCGACAACACAAGGCGCUGAAUGUUGAAAGACGAACACUCAAAAAAGAUGUGAUGUAGUGUUUGAACCUUUUGCAAUUGACAAUAAUCACAAUAUGCUGAGCUGACCAUUUUGAGACGAUGAAGAACCAAGGUACAGUAUUAACUUGGACAUCGAGAGUAUUAAACCAUGAACCCACAUUUUCAUUGUGCACACAAUUAUAUGAAUGUCUCCCCCACGCUUCACACAUGCGUUGCCUUAAGAGACUAACUACAUCUGUGUAAGUGCACUCAAGAUUGCAACAGCUUCAGCUGUAAAAAUACUGGCAUUUUUGUCAAUUUUCAUGCCUAUACCGAUAUUUGAAGUAGGCUCAUAAAUAGCAAAAGAAGCCGCUCUAUCAUUCUUGGAACCAUCAGUAUAUACAAAUUUGUGAUCUGACCACUCUGACAACAUAUUAUACACAUCCUCUUUAGAAGACAAUUCCUUUCUCUUCUUAAAAUGACAGUUAUAGCUGGAAAUUUACUACUAAAUGAACCUUCAUAACAAGGCAGGAUAUGUUUUGAUUGAUAAAUGUUAAUAUUUUCAAUAAAAGCUUUAAAUUUUUUAAGACUUUGUACUAUAUAAAAAGGUUUUAAAGUAGUAUGUGUAGCUAAAUGUACAAGAUUGUUUAAAAGACUAUUACCAGAAACACUAUAAAGCUUCAGAAAGAAUCUUUCCAAUAAGAAAUCAAAACGAAUAGCUAGAGGUGCAACAUUACAUUCAAUCUGCAAAGCGUUCACAGGAGUACUUCUGAAUGCCCCAGUAAUAACCCGCAAACAUUUGUUUUGCAAAAUAUUUAAACUAUUUACAUGUUUUGAAUCUGCAGCAAAGCAAUAAAAACCAUAUUCAAAGUGACUACGUACUAAAGAUUUAUAUAACAAUAAUAAUAUUUUUGGGUCUGCUCCCCAGUAAGUUCCACUCAAGGAUUUUAAAACAUUAAAACCUCUAUUUGCUUUGGCAACAAUAUUCCUAAUGUAAUUACUCCAGGACAAAUUAUGUGUAAAUAUAACUCCCAAAAAUCUAACUUCAAGAGAGCUGGGUAAUGCACAAUUAUGAUACAACACAGCGGGUAAAUUAUGAUUCCGCUUACCGAAAACGACUACUUUGGACUUUAAUGGAUUGAUAGUGAGAUCAAGGUAAGAGAAGUAAUUGUGCAAAUGUGUUAAUGCAACAUUGACUGUCUCAACUACUUGCGAAAUGUUCUUCCCAGAUGAAUAAACCACAAGAUCAUCUGCAAACUGUAGAUUUUUAACUUGAGCCCCUAAAAUUAAAUUUAAUCUAUGUAUAUCAAUGAUGUAUAUACAAUAUAAAUAUUACAGGUGACAAUAUUCCACCUUGACAAACUCCCUUAGCCGAUAGUCUAGGACCAUAAAGGUGCCUAUUAAAUUUUACGAAUACUUCCCUAUUAUUAAGGAAAUUUGAUAGCCAAUUAAUGAUUUUUCCCGGAAUCCCUAUCUGUGAUAACUCAUCACAUAGAAUAUCUAUAUUUACACUAUUAAAUGCGCCUGCAACAUCAAAGAACACUCCAACCAGAUUUUCAUUUGCUGUUAUGGAUUUAUAAAUAUCAAGCUGCAGUUGACAAAUACUUUCACGAGCGGAACGAUUCCUACGAAAACCAAAUUGAUUUGAUGGUAAGAUACUAUUUUUUUCUAUAUAAAAUUCUAAGCGUUGUUUUAACAGUUGUUCAAACAAUUUACCAACACAAGAAGUAAGAGCUAUGGGACGAUAAGAAUCGGGACACAUUUUAGUUUUAUCAGGUUUUAGAAUAGGUACUAGGCAAUCAACCUUCCAAUUAUGGGGUAUAAUAUCAUUUUCCCAUAACAAAUUCAAAAUUUGUAGAAAUAAUUUUAAACCUGAAAUAUUAAGUUUUUUGAAAAGUAUAUACGGCAUUCCGUCAAGACCACAUGUGGUAUCUCUCCUGGAAGUUAUAGCCGCCAUCAACUCUUGCAAUGUAAAGGGAUCAAGCAUGUAGCAAUUACUAGAAUUACAACCAGAAGUGAAAAUUUUUGCACUUGAUGGGACAAAAUCUGGUGUAUAUUUUUUAAGAAAAUCUAAAAUCCAUGUAUCGUCUUCAUGACCACUGACAUUGUAUGUUUUAUUAUAUUUGCGCAUAAAUUUCCAUAUUAUUGAUAUCGGUGUAGAUCUAUUAAAAGUUUCACAAAGGGAAAACCAACUUUUUUGCCUUUCCGUUUUUAAAACCAGUUUUUUAACUGCCCGUAACCUUUUAAAUUGCAAAUAAGUUUCUUCGGAUGGAUUAUUUUUAAAUUCCACAUAUGCGUUUCUGAAGUUUAUUACAGCUUCCGCGCACUUUUGAUUCCACCAAGGAAGCAAAGGUCGCUUAUUACUUCUAAUGCAACAAGAUCUAUUGGAAGAAUGUGCAGAACUGACUAUAGAAUUGGCGGCUGCUGUACGCAAAAUGCUACAAAAUCUAAGAUAUGUGUCAGAAAUACAUAAACUGUCGAUUUCAAAAUCAUAUAGCAAUUCAUCAACACUACUGGUAUAUCUCUUCGAAUCUACCAAUUUGUAAUUUGGAUAAACAGGCAAAUGCUCAACAUUAGAAGAAUAAUGACUGUUGUUAAUGUAACUAUUAUUGCUAAUCACUGCUUUUAUGAUUACAGGGAUGUGAUAACUGCUACCAAGAGGACAAUCAUGUACGUUCCAUUCACAAUUCAGCGCUAAAGAUGAUGAAACUAAUGUCAAAUCCAACGCAUUAGGACGCCAAGUCAAGGAGCCAACAGUAGUUGGUUGACCAUCAUUGAGCAGAACCAAAUUAUUAUCAUCAAUACUGUAGAAUACUGCGCCCACGCACAGAGUCCGAGCCACAGCCCCAAGAUGUGUGAUGAGCAUUAAAAUCACCAGCCAAUAUGAAAGGUUCAGGAAUAGAUUUUAUUAAUAGAUCCAAUUUUUCCUUUGAGAAUUGCGGAUUACAAUUCAAAGGACUAUAAAGACUGACUAUACAUAACUCUUUGUUAUUUACUUUUAUUUUAACACAAAUAUUUUGUAAUGAGUUAUCACAGAAGGUUUUAAUUUGAGUAUAAUUAAUACUUUUAUGAAUGAUUAUUGCAACGCCAUUAUGUUUGUUACCAAUAUCAUUUCUUUCAAUAUUAUAAUGUUUAAUUUUAAAAUCGUGUUGCGGUUUUAACCACGUUUCACUAAUGAUUGCCAGAUGAAUAUUGUGUCUAUAAAGAAAGUCAAUAAAUAUAUGUGUCUAUUCUGUUUACAUAAUUUAUAAUAUUACGUGAAACUGCCAUAUAAAAUCGAUAAAGUUUGUUUACCGUUAGUACCGCAAAUCGAUAACAGAUGGCGCUGUGCCGAAACGUCAUUUUUCUACAUCGCGGUGUUAAGAUUCUCCGCCGAUAUACGACCUAUGCAGUUUUAUGUGCAAUAAAUUGUCUUGCUCUGGACACGAUUGUUUUAUUCUCUUGCGAGAUAUUUUUGGGACGUUGUACAAAGUGGUCCUUCGGAACCGGGUGAAGGACUGGUGUGCAUCGUCAUACGGUGUCGUAGGGUUGCACGGUCAACCUGCCGCGAGUGUGACGUCAGCGCGAGCGGCAUCGGCGGGCCGUAUAUGUUAGGCGCGUACGCGUGUAUGUACUAGUGGUACACAACGGUCGGCGCUGGCGCUGCUGGUUCCUGUUGGCGUGAGCGGCUGCGGUGCGGGGGGAGGAGUACCCCGCAUAUCAUUGCGACGAGUAUAAGUGAGUGAGUGGUGAAGUGUUGUGUUACGAAGACAAACUGUGAGUACUUUAUAAUUUCAAAGUGACAAAAUUAAUACAUUGAGACUUAAUAAAAUUUCAAGCAAAGGACAAUGCUCAUGAAGUAUGAGAAAAAAACCCAGGCCCGGCGCAAAAGAAAUGUAACUCAAAAUAUAGGUAAAAAUAAGUAAUUAAAUAUUACAUAGGGGGCAUUAUCGAAAUCAGUGGCUAUAUGUGUGAAAUUGCUAUUCGAAUUUUAACAUCUGCGCUACAUUGCCACUCGAUAUUUUAGAGGUAACAUAAUGUAUAUGUACAUAAUGAGGUGUAUGUCUGAUAACACUAUGCAACAGUGAAGGUUUGGAGCUGACCU
rnacentral:lncRNA from 1 species